GCAAUUUAAUUUUUUAUUAUAUUUAACAGACAAAUAAAUUGAAUGUAUCUACGUAAUAAUUAUCUUUUAAAGUGUUGAUUGUUUUGGGCAUUAUAUUAACCUCUAUAUAUUUAUGUUACAGAUUAACGUUUCAACUCUGUGUUUUAACUAUUGCGUAUUAGUGUUGUAUCAUCGUACAGCUAACUAACCAUCCACAGUUCUGAGAGGAGGAGGAGGUCUAGUAGAAACAUCGGGCAUCAGUGGAGCAACUUAGCGGUAAGCAUUAUUAUUUAUUUUUGUAAAAUUAAUAUUUUCUUUGUAUUUAUUAGUUUUAUUUCGAUGAUUUAAAAAUAUCAAUUAAAGAAUUAAAAUUCAAUUUAAAAUAUUAUAAAAUUUUGUUUUUAUAAAGAUUUUAAAAAUUGCAUAAUUAUUUUAAUGAAUAUUUAAUUAAAAAACAAUUAAAAAAUUUGGAUAUAGUUUGUAUAUAGUUAAAGUUAAGAAUUAUUAAUUCUUUUGAGCGCUACUUUUAUUUUAAAAUUAUGUUUCCUUUGUUGCAGAAUCAUCGUAGCGACGUUGCUGAUAACUCCACUGCUGUCCAUCGAUCGGUGAGAGAUAAACAUUUGUAUUAGUAAUUAAUAAUUGUAUUACUAAUUAAUAAUUGUAUUACUCAUUGCAUCACUAAAAUAUCAAGCGACGCGGUAGCGGCGCGACGCCAAGUACGUACAUAAAGAAUUUUGCUGCAUAAUGCAAAUGACGCAAACUUCACUGCGCAAAUGUCACGCCGCUAUUAAGCUUUAUCUGGAAUUUAGCUGUCAAAUUCACUUUCAGUUAAAAUAUCUCAGAAACUAAAAUCAUAAUCAAAAAUCUAAUGGUAAUUUUGUUAUAUAAUAUUGAUGUAAGCUUUCGAUUGCGACCACUCAGAUUAAAAUUGGUACACUCAUUUCUGGGAUCUCGUAAUCUUUUGUACGAAAAAGCUCACUUGGAUUAUUUUCCACAGAUCACAUGUAAGCACACACACACGUAAAGCCAGUUUGUCGUUCAAGGGGCUUUACAAUGUUCCUACAUACAAUUUUAUAAAAUUAAAAUAAAAUUAUUUUGUAAUGUAAGUGGUGAAUAUUGGUACGCGAAAAAAUAUAAUAAACUUGAUAAUUCUGUGAUCUUAAGAUUUCUUGCGCGAAAAAGCUUAUUUGAGUUAUUUUCUACAGAUUCACAUGUAUAUGCACACACACACACACGCAAAGCCGGUUUGUCGUUCAAGGAGCUUCACAAUGUGCCUACAUAUAAUGUUAUAAAACUAAAACAUAUAAAAAAUUAUUUUAUAAUAUAAAUAGUGAAUUUGGUAUGCGAGAAAAGUAUAAUAAGUUAACAAAAUUAAAAUAAAUAUAUAACAUAAAUACAUGAUAUAUGUGUAAAUGUCAAAAAUAUUAAUAUAAAAAUUAAUAAUAAAAUUACAACAAACGUCUGAAUGUGAGUAAUGUAAGUGAUAUUAUUAGUACACGAAAAAA